UGAAUACGAGACGCUAAGGCGUCGAAGUAGUGUAUGUCAUACUUCCAAGAAAAGCUUGCACUGUCAUAGAUAAAAAACGCCUGUACCUUAACCGACACAGGUGGGUAGGUAGAGUAUACUAAGGGGCGCGGGAUAACUCUCUCUAAGGAACUCGGCAAAAUAACUCCGUAACUUCGGGAGUAGGAGUGCCUUAUUCGUAAGGUUGCAAUAACAAGAUCCAAGCAACUGUUUAUCAAAAACACAGGUCUCCGCUAAGUCGUAAGACGAUGUAUGGGGGCUGACGCCUGCCCAGUGCCAGAAGGUUAAAGAAGUUGGUUAGCAAUUGCGAAGCUGAUAACUGAAGCCCUGGUGAACGGCGGCCGUAAUAACGGUCCUAAGGUAGCGAAAUUCCUUGUCGGGUAAGUUCCGACCCGCACGAAAGGCGUAAUGAUUUGGAUACUGUCUCGGAGAGGGGCUCGGUGAAAUAGACUUGUCUGUGAAGAUGCGGACUACCUGCACCAGGACAGAAAGACCCUAUGAAGCUUUACUGUAACUUGAAAUUGAAAUUGGACUUUAUUCGCGCAGUAUAGGUGGGAGGCGUUGAUUAUAAUCUUGUGGGAUUAUUGGAGCCAUCAGUGAGAUACCACUCUUGUAAUGUUAGAUUUCUAACUUUGAAUCAUUAUCUGGUCAAAGAACAGUUUCAGGCGGGCAGUUUGACUGGGGCGGUCGCCUCCUAAACGGUAACGGAGGCGUACAAAGGUUUCCUCUGAACGGUUAGAAAUCGUAUCUAGAGUGUAAAGGCAUAAGGAAGCUUGACUGUGAGACCUACAAGUCGAGCAGGGACGAAAGUCGGUCUUAGUGAUCUGACGGUACUGAGUGGAAAGGCCGUCACUCAACGGAUAAAAGUUACUCUAGGAUAGCAGGCUGAUCUCCCCCAAGAGUUCACAUCGACGGGGAGGUUUGGCACCUCGAUGUCGGCUCAUCGCAUCCUGGGGCGGUAGUACGUCCCAAGGGUUGGGCUGUUCGCCCAUGAAAGCGGUACGCGAGCUGGGUUCAGAACGUCGUGAGACAGUUCGGUCCAUAUCCGGUGUAGGCGUUAGAAUAUUGAGAGGAGCCUUCUUUAGUACGAGAGGACCGAGAAGGACAUACCUCUGGUGUACCAGUUAUCGUGCCAACGGUAAACGCUGGGUAGCUAUGUAUGGAGUGGAUAACCGCUGAAAGCACCUAAGUGGGAAGCCCACCUCAAGAUAAGUAUUCUC
rnacentral:rRNA from 1 species